UGCACACAUUGAAGGAUUGUAAUUAACGCAUGAGAAACUUGAACACUUGCCGCCGCUGACGUGUAUGUUGUGCCCGUGUAAGGUCGUAAACUCGUUAUAUUACACUAGAAGAUUGCUGAAGAGUGUAAUUAAGAAAAUAAUUACGUUCACCAAACCAGUACUGUAACGGUCUAAGAAGAAUAUAGCACACUAACUUACGUUGUAAA